AUUGAACGCUGGCGGCAGGCUUAACACAUGCAAGUCGAGCGGGGUGAUGGUGCUUGCACUAUCACUUAGCGGCGGACGGGUGAGUAAUGCUUAGGAAUCUGCCUAUUAGUGGGGGACAACAUCUCGAAAGGGAUGCUAAUACCGCAUACGUCCUACGGGAGAAAGCAGGGGAUCACUUGUGACAUUGUGCUAAUAGAUGAGCCUAAGUCGGAUUAGCUAGUUGGUGGGGUAAAGGCCUACCAAGGCGACGAUCUGUAGCGGGUCUGAGAGGAUGAUCCACCACACUGGGACUGAGACGCGGCCCAGACUCCUACGGGAGGCAGCAGUGGGGAAUAUUUGACAAUGGGGGGAACCCUUAUCCCGCCAUGCCGCGUGUGGUAAGAAGGCCUUAUGGUUGUAAAACACUUUAAGCGAGGAUGAGGCUCUUUUGGUUAAUACCCAAGAUGAGUGGACGUUACUCGCAGAAUAAGCACCGGCUAACUCUGUGCCAGCCGCCGCCGUAA
rnacentral:rRNA from 1 species